UACGUAGGGGGCAAGCGUUGUCCGGAAUCAUUGGGCGUAAAGCGCGUGUAGGCGGUCCGGUAAGUCCGCUGUGAAAGUCGGGGGCCCAACCCUCGGAUGCCGGUGGAUACUGUCGGGCUUGAGUACGGAAGAGGCGAGUGGAAUUCCUGGUGUAGCGGUGAAAUGCGCAGAUAUCAGGAGGAACACCAAUUGCGAAGGCAGCUCGCUGGGACGUUACUGACGCUGAGACGCGAAAGCGUGGGGAGCAAACAGG
rnacentral:rRNA from 1 species